CAGACGCGCCCUCUUUCAUACAAAUCGGGAAACCAACGCGCGGAAGGUUUCUCUCAAUAUAUUUUCGGAAAAUCAACGUUUUAAAAGCACUGUUCUUACCGAUUUACCUUAAUAAAUACUCUUUGGAGAUCGUGUGUGUUCAUGGUGAUAAUUUAGUGAGUUCUAAUAAAAUAUUCGCUUGCAAAAGUGUGACUAAAAAUAGAAGGGUUCCCUGCAUACUUGGAAGUUCUAGUUUGAGCUCCCAUUCAUAAAAUAGAGUCAUUUGGUGUCGGUCUGUGAAGUAAUUCAGAUCGAGCAGUGAAAAAUAUAAACUAGUGAAACAAGUUGUUGAGGUUUUGCAAUUGUGUAACUAUAAAUCGAUAGAGGGUGACCUCUGAAGUUACAGUUCACGAAAAAAGAGGACAGCAUCACAAUGGCGACGGAGGGCGGUCUGGCGCCAGCCGGCGACGGCGACAUGCCCGUGGGCGGUCCGAAGACGCCGCAGCAGAUCGCGGCCCAGCGGCGCCUUCAGCAGACGCAGGCACAAGUCGAUGAGGUGGUUGACAUCAUGAAAACCAAUGUGGAGAAGGUGUUGGAGCGAGAUCAAAAGCUGUCAGAGCUCGAUGACAGAGCAGACGCUUUACAACAAGGCGCAUCACAGUUUGAGCAGCAGGCUGGCAAACUGAAAAGCAAAUUCUGGUUGCAGAACUUAAAGAUGAUGAUAAUCGCCGCAGUAAUUGGAAUCAUUAUUUUGGCCCUAAUCAUUGCAAACUUUGUGUGAACAAGUUUCGGUAAACAAAGUCUAAUUUAGAAGUUACUGUUAAUAGUUAAAACCUAUGUUAUUUUAUAAAAAAAUACAUAAUGGUUAUUGCCUUUUUUUGGUCUGUAAACAAUAUACCGGAGGACUGACAUUACAGGAGCAUCGAACAGGUUUCGGUGUCUUGUAUUCACACCAGCAUGGGACACAUUAUCCAAAAAAAAGGUCAAACAUCACUAAUAUAACAAAAAUAUCCUCAUAUUUAUAUCAUCAAUUUAGUCAUCUUUGAAUUCUGUGUGGAACACGCAUUUUUCUGUAAACCCCUGAUUAAAUAGAGUAUUUUUUAGACAAAUUUUCCUUUUAGAAAAUUUACCUUGUUGACGUCACUUUAUACGCUACCAAUUAGAUAAGGCCAAUGGAUACCAGCCAUAACAGAAAAAAACAAAGAUUAUGUUCGUAUACCUAAACGCUAAGAUAUUUUCGUUCAAUUUGGACCACAUUUCUUAAAUGAAUUAUUACUAAACAUUUAUUUUUGUAUCAACUUCUUAAAAUUUUAUUUCUGAAGCAUUUAACGUUGAUCUUGAUAUAAACACUUAAUACAAACAUAUUUUAUAUGUAUGCAUGUAUUUGUGUUACUUAUACAGUCAUUUUAAUAGAUGUUGAAUAUGAUAGUAAAAAUAGUUAUUUAAGAUUAAGCAAAGUGGCAAAAUCUAGUCACAAAGCAAAGGCAACUACUUUUUUAUUAAUAGCUGACACUGUUUACAAUUUAUUUUUUAGACUCUUGCGAUUUAUACUGUAUAUGGUCUGCUUUUAGUGUUAAAAAAUAAUCUAUCAUUUACGUUCCAGAAACCUAAUAUUAAAAAAUACUUUAGCAAGACUCUUUAUCUUGCGCUACUUAUCAGUUACUUAGCUUUGGCAAAAUUGUAAAUAAAAAUAUGUGAAACAAUAAUAUUUUAAUUAAAUGCCAAAUAUCCCCUCAAUGGAACCAUAUCAAUAAACAAAAUAAUCAUAUCAGCCUAAAUUUCCUAAAACACAUUUAAAUAAUGAGAAAAAUUUUAACUUAUUUUCAUUUCUUAGAGAAACAGUUCAAAGUUGCACAUUUUAUACCAAAGAAUUAAUUUAAUUAGAGAGCUGACUUGCAUUGCUUUAUUUUUUAAUGUAGAAAUAAAUUAAAUUUCUGUUACACUUAAUAUUAACAUUAAGUAUAUCUAUUUGAAUCGAAGAUUUGUACGUAUUCGAGUUGUUAUAUGAAUAAGAAAUAGCGUGUAGUUUAAAUUAAGGAAUUAUGAUUUACAUUUAGAUCUGUUGUUUUGACAUGGGUUUAAUUUUUUAACACAAGUAUUAUAAUCUAGUACCUAAUGUUCAGCGGAUCGUACGUACAUAAUUAUACCUCUUUUCGUUGUCCAUAAAAUUACAUAUUAAUACCUUGAAACAAUAAAUCAGUAAUUAUAAUGAAGUUGACAUACAGUAUGUAAUAUUGAAAUAAAAAAUAUAUAGGGAUCAUUUGUUAAUUUACAUAAACUGUUGUCAUUGUCACUGUUAGUUUAAUCAAUAAACAAUUAAUUUUGACUAAGCAUGUAUUUUUUUUUACUUUUAAUUUAUUCACCUCUUGCGUUUGAUCCAGCUGGUCAUGGGAGUGCUUAAUAACUUAAAAAAAUAACCAAACAUCGCUAAUUGUGUGUAGUGUAUGUAAAAACGGCUUCCUAGUUAGACUAUGUAAAUCUGGUGUUAUUAUAAAGGGAGGUUUGGCCAGUAUAACUUGUAAUUUAUGCUUAGCUAAAGCUAAGAUUAUUAGAAAAACAAUGCUAGGUAACACAAAAAUUAUUUGACGCAUCUUAAUAAUAUUUAUUAGUCAUCCAACGCGUUUUUUUUUGGAAUUUAUUUUAUAAUAUUAUAUUUAUUACUGUAUGAAACAGUCACAAUAAAAAAAUUCGCAAUAAUUUUUAAAACACAAAAGUUUAAAUUCAAAUAAUGCCUAGUUGUUAAAAGGUACCCUAUUUUUAACAACUAGGUGUUAUUUAAAUUUUAACUGCCUUUAAAAACCAUCUUGUUGAUGGCUAAGAUAUUAUUGUAAGUGUAGUAAAAAAAAACUCUAGAAGUAAAAAUAUAUUACUCUACUAAAAUAUCUUAGCCCAAAAUACGCAUGAAAUUCCUAUUAUGGCACAUCGAAUUAUCAAAAAACUAAUUGUUUAAGUGCCUGCUUAUCAAUUGGGUCAACUUUGUUAAUACCAAAAGUAUCGUUACUCAAUAAUAAAAAAAUGUGUUUUAAAAAUUAGUCUAUGAUUCACUGUAAGGUAAACAAAAACACACCAGAAUUGUAAGUUAAAUAAUUAAGUAGGUUUAAGUACCUAUUGUUAAUAUAAUAUAUCUGUCAUUGUUACAAAUAGAAGAACCUUCACCUUUUCAGGCAGGCAACUUUAGUUUACAACAACGAUAGUCUUAUUACAAUUUAAGAGCGCUGUUUGUUACGAUUUUUAAAACAUCCUGUAUAUGUGAUUUGGGUUGGUUAUUUUCUUGUUUAUAUUUAACAAAGUUGUUUUAUGCCAUUUAAAAUUGUUUCAAACAUUGAAAAGAUAUUAUUACUUAUCUUCCUAUACCUAAUUAUAAACAAAUAACUAGCUGAAAAGACCCAACAAACUUGUUUGCUUGGUCUAAUUUAAGUUCUUACCUAAUACGGGAUAACUUUUCCCUUGAAUUGAAAAAAAAAUACAUUUGCAUUUUACAUAAAGUUAUACGAGAGAGCUGCCGCCGUAGAAUGGCACUACCGCUAUCCCGUUUCACUUGAUAAUAAAAAGCGAAACAAAAAGGUAAAAAACCACAGUAUUAUGAAUAGUGCUUACUGGCUAAGCGCAGUAUCGUUAUUUUCCAGUUUACUCUGUACACUUACCCCUUCAGAUGAGCUAUUCACAAACUAU